GAUGAACGCUGGCGGCGUGCUUAACACAUGCAAGUCGAACGAAGCACCUUAUUCUGAUUUCUUCGGAAUGAAAAAUUUGGUGACUGAGUGGCGGACGGGUGAGUAACGCGUGGGUAACCUGCCUCAUACAGGGGGAUAACAGUUAGAAAUGGCUGCUAAUACCCCAUAAGACCACAGCACCGCAUGGUGCAGGGGUAAAAACUCCGGUGGUAUGAGAUGGACCCGCGUCUGAUUAGCCAGUUGGCGGGGUAACGGCCCACCAAAGCGACGAUCAGUAGCCGGCCUGAGAGGGCGACCGGCCACAUUGGGACUGAGACACGGCCCAA
rnacentral:rRNA from 1 species